AAGCCUGAUGCAGCAACGCCGCGUGAACGAUGAAGGUCUUCGGAUCGUAAAGUUCUGUUGCAGGGGAAGAUAAUGACGGUACCCUGUGAGGAAGCCCCGGCUAACUACGUGCCAGCAGCCGCGGUAAUACGUAGGGGGCUAGCGUUAUCCGGAUUUACUGGGCGUAAAGGGUGCGUAGGUGGUCCUUCAAGUCGGUGGUUAAAGGCUACGGCUCAACCGUAGUAAGCCGCCGAAACUGGAGGACUUGAGUGCAGGAGAGGAAAGUGGAAUUCCCAGUGUAGCGGUGAAAUGCGUAGAUAUUGGGAGGAACACCAGUAGCGAAGGCGGCUUUCUGGACUGCAACUGACACUGAGGCACGAAAGCGUGGGUAGCAAACAGGAUUAGAUACCCUGGUAGUCCACGCUGUAAACGAUGAGUACUAGGUGUCGGGGGUUACCCCCCUCGGUGCCGCAGCUAACGCAUUAAGUACUCCGCCUGGGGAGUACGCACGCAAGUGUGAAACUCAAAGGAAUUGACGGGGACCCGCACAAGUAGCGGAGCAUGUGGUUUAAUUCGAGCACGCGAAGAAC
rnacentral:rRNA from 1 species